rnacentral:rRNA from 1 species
AAAGCGCACGUAGGCGGCUUUUUAAGUCAGGGGUGAAAUCCCGGGGCUCAACCCCGGAACUGCCCUUGAAACUGGGAAGCUAGAAUCUUGGAGAGGCGAGUGGAAUUCCGAGUGUAGAGGUGAAAUUCGUAGAUAUUCGGAAGAACACCAGUGGCGAAGGCGACUCGCUGGACAAGUAUUGACGCUGAGGUGCGAAAGCGUGGGGAGCAAACAGGAUUAGAUACCCGAGU